UCGGUCGACUGCCGCAGGAGUCGGAGCGUGAGGAGGCUUUUACGGCUGCCGCGUGCCGGAAAGUGCGUGAGUGCUGGGCCCGAGCGUUUUAUUCUGUUUUCCGAAUCCUGAGGUCUGGAGGCGGUGAAAGUAGCUGGGACGAAUCUUUCUGUGCGGUUUCGAGAAGGAAGGGGGCCGCCGGCUACGCGACUGGGUCGAGUGACUGACACCGGCUCGGCUGCCUGGGCCGCCACCGCUUAGACCAGCGUGGGGCGGGGCUCGAUUGGCAGUUUAGAAAAAGAGGUACAUUAAAUGUAAAAGUGAAUACUUUCCAUGAUACGUGCAAAUGGCCAGUUCUUUAAGAGGAGAAGUACUGAAUCUUUAUAAAAAUCAAUGCAGAGAGAGAAUUGGAAGCCAGUAAUUAAAAAGAAGAGAUUACUACCCACCACCAAGAAUUCAGUAUCAGGACCUCGGAGGCUAAGAUAAUUAACAACACUGAAAGAUAGUUAUUCCAGAGUGACUUUUUUCAUUUCUCAUUUUUACUAAUAGGAAAUUUAAAUUAGAUUUUAAAGAAUCAGUUAUUUACCAUAUUUUCUCAGACUUAAUUACUUAUUUCUUGAUAAUAUGCUUUAAAGCAUUAUUUAACAUUAUUGAUCAUUGUAUAUACCUUAAACCACUGGCACAGAACACUGGUUUCAUAUUCCAAAAUUUGUAGGUAAUUUUAAAAGAUUAAGUACAGCCGAAACAUGUUUAAUACCUACUGUGGCUAGCUGCUAAGGUCUUAACUGGCACGCAAUGAUUUAUUCUUGGGCAUACAGCUUGUUGCCAUAUAUACUCAUUUUCAGAUGUCACUUAUUAAACUUUAAGAACAACUGAAACAAAAGUACAUGUAAAAACAACAGUGCAUGUGUUUAUAUAUGUAAAUUUUAAAAUAAGUUUGUAAAGAUACAUUUGUAACUUUUUUUAAAUCAGGAGCUCAGCCAUUAUGUGAAAAUGUACUGUGAGACUAUGGAAAUAGAGCACUUCAAUACAGGAGAAAGAACUGUUAACAGCAUCAUUCUGUAUCCCGGUGCCUAUAAUGCUUUCACUACGCGAUUUAAUUUUAAACAAGUACUUGUUCUAGUUGAAUAGUUUAUUAUGUGCAAAAGCUCUUUCAAUGAAAUAAAUAACACCUCAAAUACCCUAACUAUAGGCAGAUGCAAGAAUACUAAAUACUAGCCCUUCUUGGGGGAGAGGAACGGGACGAACAAGAUGUAUUCUAAAAAGCAACUUUGCAUCACUGAAUUGGAAAGAAACCUUGCCAAACAACAGCCCACCUCAGGAACUACUGAAAUGCAUCAAUACUACUACUUGGGAGGCUAUACUAUGCAUUGGUGCACAGCAGGUGCUCAGUACUUGCUUUGUCUAGUUUUAACUCAUAAAAAGCAAAGUUCAAAUUACUGAUCUUAUGUACAGAAACCCAACUAUUAUUAAACAGAGAAAUAAGGCACAAAGUUUUUUUGUUUGGUUUGCUUUGUUAAAAUAAUUUGAUGAUAAGCUUUCUUUAAUGGAGGUCUUCUAACAACUAAAUUUAAGUAUCUAGAAAUUAACAACAAAACCCGGAAAAUUAAAUACUCAACAUUUUUAAGUUCGUAAAACAAAUUUUCACAUUAUGCUCAAAUUGAGACCUCCAGAAAGCAAAAAAGCUGAAUCAGGAGUAGCAGAUACUCAGAGAAUUCUGCUUUUGUCAUCUGCUUUACUGAAUGAUCCCCACUUUUGAUUUUAGCAGACUGGAAAACACACAGCUGAUUACCACGGUGUCAACGUUUUGGUUUCAACAGCCUUUGCAAACACAGCCAUACACUGCCCAAAGAGGCCAGAAAAAUAUGUCAAUUACUAACUGCCCAGAUAGAUGUGACCUAGGUAGCAGCCUUUAUACACUAGGAACACAGGGACCACAUACAGCAUACUUGCAGAAAAUAAAAACUACUUUGGCCUUUCAGAUGUGGACUAAAAUGAUAGUUAAAAAUAUAAUACAGGGCUUCCCUGGUGGCGUAGUGGUUGGGAGUCCGCCUGCCGAUGCAGGGGACGUGGGUUCAUGCCCCGGUCCAGGAAGAUCCCACAUGCCGCGGAGCGGCUGGGCCCGUGAGCCAUGGCCGCUGAGCCUGCACGUCCGCAAUGGGAGAGGCCACGACAGUAAGAGGCCCGCAUACCGCAAAAAAAAAAAAAAAAAAAUAUAUAUAUAUAUAUAUAUAUAAAA